CACUACGUUGGCAGCUUUGACUCAGCACUUAGAAAGAAAGGUUCUUUCUACACUUCACUGACCACCAUCCUCAGGAAUUUUCCCACCCAUGGUCUGGAACUUAUACCUACCAUUCAGGGUCAGUGAUCAAGCCCUUUCCAGAACAGAUAUCCCAUUUCAAUACAGGAAGCUGAUCCAAUACAGAAAGAAACCAAAUCAUUUGUUUUCCUAUAAAAUGUGGAUACCCACUUCCAGAAUCUAUUUAAUUUGCAAUAAGACUGUAAAUUACAGUGUCAUCCUUGACGGCAUAUUCUCCCGUUUUCCCUAAAGUUUUUACUCGCCCUUCUAUAAAAUAAUAAUGCCAUGCAUAUCAACGAUUCUCUCUGGAGGGCUUAAAGUGACUUACUUAAAUCAGCAGAGGCAGAUGGUGACAGAAAAAAAUGAAUUUCUUAACUAGUGAUGCAGUUUCAAGUUCACACACAGAAAGUAAACAGGGUAAAAAUAAAUAUUCUCAUUUCUAUGUCAUUUUCUAUCAUUUGGCAAUGCCUGCCAUUUUAGCUCCAAACAAACUCUCAAGUUCAAACUGCUUGUUCACUUUAAAUUCUUUUCUGUUUUUUCCUUCACAAUUUAGGGUGUUUCAGGGCAUGUUGAAGAAGUCACUAAUAUAAGAUCUGUUAGAAAGCCCAAGUUUGAAAGCUAUGCAUAUUUAAACUUUUACCUGGUAGUGUUUCUUUAGUCACAUCAUCCAAGCUGAACUUGGCUAUUUUUUAAAAAACUCAGAAUGAUAAUUUUCCUCUCCUUUCACUAAAUUCUCACAUAGGUAAUAUAAUUAUUUUAUUUACUUUAGUACCUUCAAAGAUCAUUACAAAUCUGCUAAGUUUUAAUUGUUCAUGAAGAUCGGUGAUGUGCAAACAAUCUCAAAUCUAUUUUCAUUCCCCACAAUUUGCAUUUUUAUGUUUCAGAUUUGCACGUGCAGCAAUAAGAUGCUAGAGCUGAUUGCUAAUUGCUUAAAUAUAUGAAGAAAUUUCAAGAGAGGCAGAACUACAAACAUUUUUCUGAAAGGCAAGUCCCAGAAGAGACCCAUGGAAAGGAAAUGGAAAAGAAAACAAAUGAGCUCCCACAACGAGUUAAGUCCAGAGGCCACAAUUAAAGGGAAAUAAUAACGACACCCAGAGAUCCUGGGCUCUAACAUAUCCUGGAAAGGAAGCCCAGGUCCCCAUACCUCUGAGGCAUCUUAUGUGGUAAUGAGGUGGAGGAGGGCCACAGAAAGCUCAGCAGAGUGGAUUAAACUCCUGCUAAGAAUCAGAGCUCAGACCCUCAUCACUUGCGCCUGCCUCAGGGGCAUCCCCAAGGACCCUGCAAGACAAGGAUGCUGGGAAACUAAAGCUCUCCAGAGCAGUGACUGGUGCAAAUUCUCACCAUGACUGGGCUGAGAUUUCAACACAAGUCUACUGGAUUACAAAGCCUGGGCUAGUUCCUCUUCGCCACACUGUCUAGUAGGCAAACAACACUGCUGUUCUCCAAUAAGCAUUCUGGAAACAAAAAGAAUUGUAACUAUAUUAAACACUUUCCAUAAGCCGUGUAUUAUGGUAGAUGUUUUUG